GACGAACGCUGGCGGCGUGCCUAAUACAUGCAAGUCGAGCGCAGGAAACUGACGGAACUCUUCGGAGGGAAGGCAGUGGAAUGAGCGGCGGACGGGUGAGUAACACGUAAGGAACCUGCCUCAAGGAUUGGGAUAACUCCGAGAAAUCGGAGCUAAUACCGGAUAGUUCAACGGACCGCAUGGUACGCUGAUGAAAGGCGCUUCGGCGUCACCUUGAGCUGGCCUUGCGGUGCAUUAGCUAGUUGGUGGGGUAACGGCCCACCAAGGCGACGAUGCAUAGCCGACCUGAGAGGGUGAUCGGCCACACUGGGACUGAGACACGGCCCAGACUCCUACGGGAGGCAGCAGUAGGGAAUCUUCCACAAUGGACGAAAGUCUGAUGGAGCAACGCCGCGUGAGUGAUGAAGGUUUUCGGAUCGUAAAACUCUGUUGUAAGGGAAGAACACGUACGAGAGGAAAUGCUCGUACCUUGACGGUACCUUACGAGAAAGCCACGGCUAACUACGUGCCAGCAGCCGCCGUAA
rnacentral:rRNA from 1 species